UACGCAGGGGGCUAGCGUUGUUCGGAAUUACUGGGCGUAAAGCGCACGUAGGCGGAUGUUUAAGUUAGGGGUGAAAUCCCGGGGCUCAACCCCGGAACUGCCUCUAAUACUGGGCAUCUCGAGUUCGAGAGAGGUAAGUGGAAUUCCGAGUGUAGAGGUGAAAUUCGUAGAUAUUCGGAGGAACACUAGUGGCGAAGGCGGCUUACUGGCUCGAUACUGACGCUGAGGUGCGAAAGCGUGGGGAGCAAACAGG
rnacentral:rRNA from 1 species